rnacentral:rRNA from 1 species
UACAGAGGGUGCAAGCGUUAAUCGGAAUUACUGGGCGUAAAGCGCGCGUAGGUGGUUUGUUAAGUUGGAUGUGAAAUCCCCGGGCUCAACCUGGGAACUGCAUUCAAAACUGACAAGCUAGAGUAUGGUAGAGGGUGGUGGAAUUCCCUGUGUAGCGGUGAAAUGCGUAGAUAUAGGAAGGAACACCAGUGGCGAAGGCGACCACCUGGACUGAUACUGACACUGAGGUGCGAAAGCGUGGGGAGCAAACAGG